AUGCCGAAGCUGCAGCGGUACAGGGGCGUCAGGCAGAGGCACUGGGGCUCCUGGGUCUCCGAGAUCCGCCACCCGCUCAUGAAGACGAGGAUCUGGCUGGGCACGUACGAGACGGCGGAGGACGCGGCGCGGGCGUACGACGAGGCGGCGAGGCUCAUGAGCGGGCCCGCGGCGCGCACCAACUUCCCCUCCACAAACGGUGUCGCCGCCGCCGGCGGAUGCCUCUCAGCGACCCUGCGCGCCAAGCUGGAGAAAUGCUGCAUGUCGACGCCGGCGCCGGUGCAAAACGUCGAGGCGGCCAAGGCGGCGAGGACCGGAGGCGGCGCCGCUCGCCGAAACAGGGUCGAGGACGUCGUCAAGCGCGUGGACGAGGAGGAGGAGUGCAUCGAGGAGAUGAUCAGGGAGCUCACCCACUACGGCUCCGUGGAGAUCGUCGCCCCCUCCGCCUGCUCCAGCUCCGUCGUCUAG
rnacentral:rRNA from 1 species